AACGAACGCUGGCCGCGUGUUUAAGACAUGCAAGUCGCACGGUGUCAUUUUGGUAGCAAUACUUGGAUGGCACAGUGGCGCACGGGUGAGUAACACGUGAAUGUCAUGCCCUUGAGAGGGGGAUAGCCCAGGGAAACUUGGAUUAAUACCCCAUGGUAUCGCGAGAUUAAAGGGUGGCCGCAAGGCUGCCGCUCAAGGAUUGGUUCGCGUUCUAUCAGCUUGUUGGCGGGGUAACGGCCCACCAAGGCUACGACGGAUACCUGGUCUGAGAGGACGAUGAGGCACACUGGAACUGAGACACGGUCCAGACACCUACGGGUGGCAGCAGUCGAGAAUAAUUCACAAUGGGGGCAACCCUGAUGGUGCAACGCCGCGUGGAGGAUGAAGGUCUUCGGAUUGUAAACUCCUGUCAUCCGGGAGCAAGACCUGACGGUUAACAGCCGGCAGGGUUGAUAGUACCGGAAGAGGAAGGGACGGCUAACUUCGUGCCAGCCGCCGCAGUAACAC
rnacentral:rRNA from 1 species